rnacentral:SRP_RNA from 1 species
UGGGUCCGACGCGGCGGAGCCCGCCGAACCGGGUCAGGUCCGAGAGGAAGCAGCCCUAAGGCGGUGUCUCCGGGUGCCGUCGGGGUGCCUACUCGGG